rnacentral:rRNA from 1 species
GGGACGAAUAGCUCAGUAAAACUGCGAUGAUUUAGUCUGGCUGUGUAGAUAACUACGUGAAAAUGUAGCUAAGGGAAGGCAGAAUAAGACGCAGGACUAUCAGUUAGUUGGUAGUGUAAUGGACUACCAAGACAGUGACGGUUGACGGGAAAUUAGGGUUUUGUACCGGAGAGGGAGCCUGAGAGAUUGCUCCCACGUCCAAGGACGGCAGCAGGCGCGAAAAUUGCCCACUCUUUGCAGGAGGCAGUUAUGAGACGUGAAGAUGAGUAUCUUGUAAAGAGGGAUAGGAGAAUUGGAGGGCAAGUUUGGUGCCAGCAGCCGCGGUAAUACCGACUCCAAGAGUGUGUAUGAGAGAUGCUGCAGUUAAAAAGUCCGUAGUCAUAGAAGGGCAAAGAGAGAUGCGAGGUCUCACAGUGCGAUGAUGGAGGAGCCGAUGGGGAACAUAGUAUACCAGGGCGAGAGAUGAAAUGCCAAGACCCCUGGUGGACUGAGCGAGGCGAAGGCGAUGUUCUUGUAGGCAUUCGGUGAUCAAGGACGAAGGCUGGAGUAUCGAAAGUGAUUAGAUACCGCAGUAGUUCCAGCAGUAAAAGAUGCCGACAUGCUCAUUGGACACAGUGGGCAGGGAGAAAUCUUAAGAGUUCGGGCUCUGGGGAUAGUAUGCUCGCAAGGGUGAAAAUUAAAGAAAUUGACGGAGCUACACCACAAGGAGUGGAUUGUGCGGCUUAAUUUGACUCAACGCGAGGAAACUUACCAGGGCCAAGUAUU